GAGUUGGGUUCAAUGGUAGAGUAUUUGCUUAGCAUGCCUGAGGCUCUGGGUUAAAUCCCCAGCAACACA
rnacentral:tRNA from 1 species